UACGUAGGGUGCAAGCGUUAAUCGGAAUUACUGGGCGUAAAGCGUGCGCAGGCGGUUAUGUAAGACAGAUGUGAAAUGCCCGGGCUUAACCUGGGGAACUGCAUUUGUGACUGCAUGGCUAGAAUCUGGCAGAGGGGGGUAGAAUUCCACGUGUAGCAGUGAAAUGCGUAGAUAUGGUGGAGGAACACCGAUGGCGAAGGACAGCCCC
rnacentral:rRNA from 1 species